rnacentral:rRNA from 1 species
GAUGAACGCUGGCGGCGUGCCUAAUACAUGCAAGUCGAGCGAACAGAUAAGGAGCUUGCUCCUUUGACGUUAGCGGCGGACGGGAGAGUAACACGUGGGUAACCUACCUAUAAGACUGGAAUAACUCCGGGAAACCGGGGCUAAUGCCGGAUAACAUUUAGAACCGCAUGGUUCUAAAGUGAAAGAUGGUUUUGCUAUCACUUAUAGAUGGACCCGCGCCGUAUUAGCUAGUUGGUAAGGUAACGGCUUACCAAGGCAACGAUACGUAGCCGACCUGAGAGGGUGAUCGGCCACACUGGAACUGAGACACGGUCCAGACUCCUACGGGAGGCAGCAGUAGGGAAUCUUCCGCAAUGGGCGAAAGCCUGACGGAGCAACGCCGCGUGAGUGAUGAAGGUCUUCGGAUCGUAAAACUCUGUUAUUAGGGAAGAACAAAUGUGUAAGUAACUGUGCACGUCUUGACGGUACCUAAUCAGAAAGCCACGGCUAACUACGUG